UGGUCCCGACCUUAUAAUCAAUUGUUACUUAACUUAUACAUGCAAGUCUCCGCACCCCUGUGAAAAUGCCCCCAAUCUUCUACUGAAAUAAGGAGCCGGUAUCAGGCACAAUUUUUAGCCCAAGACACCUAGCCAAGCCACAUCCACAAGGAAAUUCAGCAGUAAUUAAUAUUGAGCAUAAGCGCUAGCUUGACUCAGCUAAAGUAAAAAGAGCCAGCAAACUUGGUGCCAGCCGCCGCGGUUAAACCACUUGGGCUCAAAUUGAUUAUCCUCGGCGUAAAGCGUGGUUAAAGAUAUCUGUCAUUAUAGUUCUACUGUUACUAAGCUGUGAAACGCUUGUUAACAAGACAUUCAAAAACAAAGGUUACUAUAAUUUUAUCCGCUUGAAUCCACGACAGCUGGGGCACAAACUGGGAUCAGACACCCCACUAUGCCCAGCCGUAAACUUUAAAUUACACCCCCCCAUCGCCAGGGAACUACGAGUAGAGCUUAAAACCCAAAGGACUUGACGGUGCCCCUAUAUCCACCUAGAGGAGCCUGUCCUGUAACCGAUGACCCCCGUUUAACCUCACCGCUUCUAGCUUUUCAGCCUGUAUACCUCCGUCGUCAGCUUACCCUAUGAAGGCCCUUUAGUAAGCUAAAUGUUCCCCCAUCAAUACGUCAGGUCAAGGUGCAGCAAAUAAAGCGGAAUGAGAUGGGCUACACUUUCUAAUUUAGAACAGACGGAAGACUAUUUAUGAAAUCUAGUCAAAAGGCGAAUUUAGUAGUAAGAAGGGACAAGAGAGCCCUUCUUAAAUCGGCACUAGGGUGUGUACACACCGCCCGUCACCCUCUUCAAAGCCAAAAAAUUCAGUAAAUAACUAAAGCCUGCACCUAAGAAGAGGUAAGUCGUAACAUGGUAAGCGUACCGGAAGGUGUGCUUGGAAA
rnacentral:ncRNA from 1 species